GCCGAUGUGGCUCAAUGGUAGAGCGAGUCAUUCGUAAUGAUUAGGUUGGGGGUUCGAUUCCCUUCAUCGGCUCCA
rnacentral:tRNA from 1 species